AACCCUCUGAUUGGAGGACGACCGUGCUCCCCACUCACCCACAGUCGCCCCUGUAACGACUGUGGGUGACCAGUGCUGUAACGAUUGGCUGACCAGACGAUUAGUGGCCAACUAUUUUGAUCAUCAAUUGAUAGUCGUUCUUUGUGCAAGCAUGUAAGAGGAUGGUGUUGUCCCCCUAUCCGGUGUAAAGGUGUCCUGCUUUUCUCCAUUGAGCUGAGUAUCUUUGAGUUUAGUCUGAGCAUGCCGCCUCAGAUUUAAAAUUAGCGGGUUACCAACACCAUAAAAACGAUACAAGUGAGCAAAACGAACAACCGGUGACAAACGCAAGCAAUAGGAUGAAAAGCGUUGCGAAACACACUUCAAAAUCAAGCAGCAACCACUGAAAGCUGUUAAAUGUGACAUAAUACACCUCAUACGAUCUUGACAAAAUCUAAAACAAACCCUGAAAAGCUGCAUAGAUAGAACACACCUGUCCCAAAAAAUAAAAGUGAGCUGCGAACAUGUUGCUAGGAGGUAGGCAGCAGAGAGUGACCUGGUACUUUCAUUAGCCCCCCAAUUAUGUUAGCCAAACAAAUUGCAGUGCCCCCCAUUGUGGAUAGAGAGGACAGGGAUGCACUUAGCUUUGUUAUCAGUAGCGGGGUCGGUUAAGAGUGAAAUGUCAGCAGGCAGUAAAUGUCAAUGAAGGAAGUUCUGAGAAAGUGCGAAUCUCUGCAACCAACAGAGGUCCUUGAGCAAGCAGCUGGAACGUAAAGCAGUUUCCUGCAGCAGAAUGAAGGAUUCACAGUGGACAGACGGAGAGGUGCACACUCACUCACUCACUCAUUCAUUCAUUCACUCAUGGACCUAGGCCUGCACCUGACUGCAUGAUCUUCUUGGAGAAAAUACAUCUUCGUAUAGACCCUCCUUACCGCAAAGUAGAGUAUAAUCUUUUGUAAUAAAGUCACAGUAUAUUGGGUCAAAAGAACCUAUGAAAGCAGAAUGAUAUAAACUAUGUUGAACAGGGUAAUCAACGGUAAGUAUACCAAGUAUAGAAUCUCAAAUAAAACAGAGUCAUAAUAUGUUGAAAACAGCUUUGAAAAAAGAAAAGUUACCAACAGUUACCAACUUCAAAUUUUACAUUCAGAAAAUGACAACCCACCACUCAGUGAAGGGAAACCACAAACAAUCCAGCAGUUCCAGCAGACCAUUUGUCUUUAAAGUUUGAUGGAGUCACACAGCUUGAUUUUGGAAAUCAGAAAAACUCUCCAGCGGUCAUAGUGAACUACAUUGGAGAGACAGAACUUACUCUUCUUCGGAGCGAGGUGGAGCAUACACCUGUAGGAGAGGAAGUGGAAAGUCCUUGUGGUGCUGGCCUUUGUAACAGCCGGCUCCAGGUUUAUGUCGGCAUGAGGGAUUGUAGCCAACACAACAGUCUUUACCAGUCUGGAAGUUUAGGAAGGCUGAAGAUGGCCGGUGGUCCCCAACUAUUUUUGCAUCACGAACCGGUUUCAUGUUAUACAAUAUUUCUCGGGCCGUAUGUAUGUCGGUUCCCCUAAGAAUAAAAUAUUUGGUCAAAUGUUCUGGAUAGAGAAUCUUCUCCCCCGUCAGUGUGAAAGUUGGGGUUAUGUUUUGCUCCUUCGGAUGCUGGGGCAUUAAAAGUCUACCUUCUCAUCCCACGGUCAACCUUAAACCUUUAAAACCAACCAUAAAGAGGUUGUAAAUGUCUAAGUGAACAGACAACUCUGCUACUUUGAGACCAUGUCUUAGACCAUGUCUCUCUGUGCAACUACCUUAGUUGUCAGAGGACUCUUGUGAAAACUUUAGGCCGUCCCGGAUCGAUCAUCUUGUCGAUACUGCUACAGGGUCUUUUAGAGUGGCGCUGGACGCUAUCGCUCCUCUGGAAAGGAGAAUUGCAUAAACUUCCAUUGUUAUGCAGACGAUACUCAAUUGAGAUUGAUUGCAAUCUGCCGUCCCUCCAGGACUUGUUCGCUUCGAGGACUCUGAAGCGAGCUAGAAAGAUGGUAGCCGACCCCUCUCACCGUGGAAAGAAACUGUUUGUGCCCCUUCCAUUUGGCAGGAGGCUGAGGUCUAUCAGGACCAAGACACGCAAACAGUUUCUGGCAGUCGGGCUCAGCCCGGUUACGCCCCCUGACUGACAUCCCUUUCUCCACCGGUCAUCUGUUCGCCAUUGCACUUUUAUUUUAUU
ensembl:lncRNA